rnacentral:lncRNA from 1 species
GAGAAAGAAGCGGCCAUGCUUAAGGAGAGAAGGUGGCCACAUGGCAGAGUGCAAGACAGCAUGAAAUAGAUGAGCUCACCAAAAGAUCGUCAGGGACCAGACCAGCAUGUGCCUGGGCUUGGAGACAGGGAGGCAUGAAAAAAUUGGAGGCUACUUCGGCAACCUUCCUCAUGUGAUCUGGACCACGAUGGUGGAAGUAGAAACGGAUGCAUGGAUAAACAGAUACAACAUUUACUGCAAUUGCCAAAGAAGCUGCCCAUCACUGUCACGCCAGCUGCACAGUCUUCACUGAGGGAGCUUCCAAGUGCCAUUUUAUUAAUGUGGAGAGAAGAAUAACAGAUCAUAAAUGUUUGAGGUCUAUCCAGCCGGAGUACAGGGGAUUAUCUAUUAUCCUGUGAGCUCGUGUUUUAUUCAUCUUCGUGUUCCCGUGAAUUAUACAGUGCAAAAACUGCUUAGAAGGCUUCCCCUCCUAGACAGCCCAACAGCACCUCAACCUCAGCCGGAAUGAAACUGAAUGUGUUACUGCGCACCCAAACAGAGCUUCUCUUCCUGCUUUCUCUCUCCUGGCGCAGUGGCUCACACCUGUAAUCCCAGCACUUUGAG